rnacentral:tRNA from 1 species
GUAGAUAUAGUUUAAACAAAACAUUAGAUUGUGAAUCUAGUAAUAGAGAUUAACACCCUCUUAUCCACC